rfam:Ipomoea nil DNA, scaffold: scaffold2283, cultivar: Tokyo-kokei standard.
GUGGGCGUGCCGGAGUGGUUAUCGGGCAUGACUAGAAAUCAUGUGGCCUUUGCCCGCGCAGGUUUGAAUCCUGCCGCUCACG